rnacentral:tRNA from 1 species
GUGGGUAGGUCAAACCAGCCUUCCGGUUGGUCGUAGGUUCGAAUCCUACCGGGCCCA